rnacentral:rRNA from 1 species
UGAGGAAUUUUGCGCAAUGGGCGCAAUCCUGACGCAGCAACGCCGCGUGGGUGAUGAAGGCCUUCGGGUCGUAAAGCCCUGUCAGGUGGGAAGAAUGUCCCGGGACUGAACAGGUUCCGGGAGUGCCGGUACCACCAGAGGAAGCACCGGCUAACUCCGCGCCAGCAGCCGCGGUAAUACGGAGGGUGCAAGCGUUAUUCGGAAUUACUGGGCGUAAAGCGCGUGUAGGCGGUCCUGCAAGUCUGAUGUGAAAGCCCCGGGCUUAACCCGGGAAGUGCAUUGGAAACUGUGGGACUUGAGUACUGGAGAGGAUGGGGGAAUUCCCGGUGUAGAGGUGAAAUUCGUAGAGAUCGGGAGGAAUAUCAGUGGCGAAGGCGCCCAUCUGGACGGUAACUGACGCUGAGACGCGAAAGCGUGGGGAGCAAAUA